rnacentral:rRNA from 1 species
GAUGAACGCUAGCGGCAGGCUUAAUACAUGCAAGUCGAGGGGCAGCGCGGGUAGCAAUACCUGGCGGCGACCGGCAAACGGGUGCGGAACACGUACGCAACCUUCCCAAAACUGGUGAAUAGCCCUCCGAAAGGAGGAUUAAUACACCGUACCAUAACGAAGAGGCAUCUCUUUGUUAUUAUAGUAGCAAUACGGUUUUGGAUGGGCGUGCGCCUGAUUAGGUAGUUGGCGGGGUAACGGCCCACCAAGCCUGCGAUCAGUAACUGGUGUGAGAGCACGACCAGUCACACGGGCACUGAGACACGGGCCCGACUCCUACGGGAGGCAGCAGUAAGGAAUAUUGGUCAAUGGACGCAAGUCUGAACCAGCCAUGCCGCGUGAAGGAUGACGGCCCUCUGGGUUGUAAACUUCUUUUAUCUGGGACGAAAAAGGGCGUUCUAGCUCACUUGACGGUACCAGAGGAAUAAGCACCGGCUAACUCCGUGCCAGCAGCCG